rnacentral:rRNA from 1 species
AUUGAACGCUGGCGGCAGGCCUAACACAUGCAAGUCGAGCGGUAGAGAGAAGCUUGCUUCUCUUGAGAGCGGCGGACGGGUGAGUAAUGCCUAGGAAUCUGCCUGGUAGUGGGGAUAACGUUCGGAAACGGACGCUAAUACCGCAUACGUCCUACGGGAGAAAGCAGGGGACCUUCGGGCCUUGCGCUAUCAGAUGAGCCUAGGUCGGAUUAGCUAGUUGGUGGGGUAAUGGCUCACCAAGGCGACGAUCCGUAACUGGUCUGAGAGGAUGAUCAGUCACACUGGAAGUGAGACACAGUCUAGACUCAUACGGGAGGCAGCAGUGGGGAAUAUUGGGCAAUUGGCGAUAGCCUGAUCCGGCCAUGCCGCGUGUGUGUAGAAGGUCUUCGGAUUGUAAAGCACUUUAAGUUGGGAGGAAGGGCAGUAAAUUAAUACUUUGCUGUUUUGACGUUACCGACAGAAUAAGCACCGGCUAACUCUGUGCCAGCCGCCGCAGUAA